AUUUCAUCUGCCAUUUGAGUGCCCAGUCCCCCAGUCUAUCUAAAUCAUUCUGCAGCAAAGUAAUAUCCUCCUCGCAUUGUAUUACUUUACAGAGGUUUGUGUAAUCUGCAAACACUGAAACAUGACUUUCAAUGCUUUUUUCAAGAUCAUUUAUAAAAAUGUUAAAUAGAAGGGGUCCCUGAACAGAACCCCGAGGGACACCACUUGCCACCUCUGUCCAGCUUGAAAAUUUACCAUUAAUGACAACUCUUUGUACACUAAUUUUAAGCCAAUGUUCUACCCAAGAACAAGCAUUUUUUUCUAGACCGAUUUCCUUGAGUUUGAACACUAAUCUAUUGUGUGGAACUGUAUCAAAUGCCUUGUCAAAAUCCAAAUAGAUCAGAUCCACUGCAACACCCUGAUCUAUACUUCUACUUACUUCUUCGUAGAACACAAUCAAGUUCGUUUGACAUGACCUGUGUUUCAUAAAACCAUGCUGAUUUUUGCUGAUAACCAUGUUCUUUUCAAGGAAUUCUUGAAUAUUAUCCCUUAAUAACCUUUCAAAUAUUUUCCCAGCCACAGAAGUUAAGCUUACAGGUCUAAAAUUUUCAGGCAAGGAUUUUGAAUCCAGGAACUAUAUACGGUAACUACUGUGUAGUGAGAAGAAUACAGCCUGCUCAACCGCAUCCAACGACAUAGACAUCCACAUUUGAAAUGUGUUAAUGCUUACGAUGACUCUAUUUAAGUUAAUUCCAGUUUUUAUGUUUCAUUUAUUGUUCUGCAUAAUAUUAGGUUGUCGCUCUGCAUGAAAAGUGCCUAGUUCAGAUUGGGGGCUUUCUUGACCAGGGCAUAUCAAGGCAGCAUUAGAAAAAUACAUGGCCCAAAUUUCACCCCACUGCCCCCUUGGUGAGGGAUACUUAGUCUGGAUGCAUAUCCUACUUGCCAAUCAAGCUCAUUCAUUUUAUGCACCAUAGGUUUAUGGCUUGUUCUAGCAAGUUUUUAUACUACUGUGCAUGUUGGUGAGCAUUUGGUUUAUUUUCUCCUAUCCUAUGACACUUCCCUGCUAGAGAAGCUCAAUGACCACACUAACCUCUCACUUUUGAGGGACUAGAUUCACAUGUGACUCUGAUAUCGCUAGUUUAUUUUUAUUUAUUUUUUUAAAUGGUGCAUAAUUCAUAAUCUGUAUAUAUUGCUUUUAUUUCUAUAUUUUCUGUUCACAUAUCUCUUGUCAAAAAUGUGAUACCAAU